CGCAUUUUCAAUACUUAAUAAAGUCAUAUCAUUUAUCGUCUAAUUAAUUAACUACUUUUCAAUUCGACUUUAAAGUCACUAUUCACAACGUAAUAUCUAUAGAGAGAAAAAUAUUAAAACAUGUUAAACAUUUUAGUAAGUAAUAGUCAUAGGCUCUAAAACAGAUGAAGAUGAAGAUGAAGAUGGAGAGGGAGAUGGAGAGGAGAGGGAGAUGGCGGAUCAAAACAUACAGAAGAUAGUAGUGGGGAUGAUGCAAUGGCAGACAGUAAUUCAGGAAAAGAAGGUGAAGGUGAGGAAAGGGGUGAAUCACUUGAUUGUUACGAAGAUGUUGUAGAGUAUGAAGCAAAAGAAAGUAAUGCAGGAUACGGUGUUG